AACAGCCUCAAAUCCAGAAAUUCCGGGCUUUGUGGAGGAAUCAGCAGGACUUGGUCCUGCUCUCAGACCCACACUGAAAGUCAUCGUGGAUGUUCACCUGUAUGACCUGAGACCCAGCCUGUCUCCAUCUGCAGAGCAAGAUUUGAGUGUGUGCCCCAUGCCGGGUUUGGUAAAGCUGGAAAGGGAGCAGUGCCCUUCCAGGAGACAUUCAACAAUGACAUCUAUGCUGUGGCGGGAGCUUUGCAAGUUUCCUACCGUGAGGAAUCUCACUUGGUCUCACAACAGUUGUUCAACAACGCCCCGGGGAUGGGGCACGUGAUUCCAGAGAUCUUCUGGGUAAACCAAAUGAAACAGUUUCACAAGAAAGGCAGAAAUGUUGGCAGGGUAGCAGCUGCGCUUGGGCAGACUCCUGUGGGCCAGGGAUCUUUAUCUGAUUUAAUCUGCAUCCUGCAAGGUGUAUCCUGGCGUUUAGAUAAUGAAGAACUAGAAAACAGAACUGGCCUCCCCUCGACUUGCCUGCCGGCUUCUCCUAUG